CCCGGCUAAGGAGUCAGCCUCGGCGUCAGACUCGCCGGCCCGAGGGCACCUCACUCCACGCUUGGCGUUUCUCGUUUGCUGCCCGUCGUCCCUUUCACCCUCAGUACGACGGACGCAGGGGGUACCCUCCAGCCCAGGGCCCCAGUCCACACCACGGCCCACCCUCUCCGCCGUUCCGCUUCUCACGCUCCUCCUCGGACCCCUCUCUGCUGCCAGUGCUCUGUCACCCUCCUCUGCCCCCGAGACGCUGAACUUCGCAGGCUGCCUGUUUCUUUAGAUGGCACCAUGCUUCUUGGUCCCCAAACCGUAGUAGAUUAUGUGUCUAAGUGCAGAAGCUGAGCCCCAGAGCCCAGGACCAAAGGAGACCCCUGCCCAGGCUGGGAGCCAAGGCAGAGGAGAAGGAGAAGGCAGGACAGACCACCAGCUCCCCAUCUACCCCUUGACCCCUCUGCUGUCACAGCUGACCCUGUCCCACGUCCCUCCCAGCAGCCCCUGCCCCCACCCCAAAGCCCUUUUCUGGCCUGGACUGUGGAGCCUCCUUUUGUCAUGCUCCCACCCCUCCCAGCACCGCCUGGUCCAUUUGAGUGAGAGGCCCUUUCCCUGCCCCCAGUGUGGGAAGUGCUGCAGCCACGGGGCCACCUGACCCUGCCCCUGCACUCCCACACAGGUGACAGGCCCUAUGGCUCUGGCCUCCAUGGCUGUGGCUUCACUCAGAGCCCCCUUCUGCUUUGACAACCGUCCACACCCAGUGGGAAGGACAGGGAUGAACAGAGCGGGCCGCCAACCCCGCAGCACUCCAGGAGGGCAGCCCUGGGGACAGACUCCUUCCACAGUCGGAGUGACUUGCCUCUUCUGUGGGAGGCAUAAUGGGGCACGGCUCCCUGACCCACCCCAUCCCCGCCAGAGCCACCACAUUAGGUGAUCAGAGUGUCUCACCGGAACCUACUCAGGGCUGGAAUGGCCAGGUCCACCUCACUUCUAGUCCACAAUCUAAUCCCCCAGGGAAAGAGCUUUUCCUGUUUCUUAGAAAAGAAUCUGUACUUCCAAUCUCCUGUCCUCCAUCUGAGAAGUUUAACCAGGCUGCCUGAGACCUACUGCCAUCACGGACGGAUCAGAUUUCCCGGGAUUUUCUUGAAGGGAUUUUUUAAAGAGAUAACUGAAUCCCCAGAGAUCUCCAUGACAACCCCCACCAUCAAAUUCUAGUUGCCCACAAAUCCCACCCAACCCCAUCACUUCCCCCAGAGGCCGCUGGCUGCUUAUUGCCUCCGGUGCUAAAGCUACACCCAGCACCCCAUCGGAUGAGGCCAUCUCCCUGUGCCCACUCCUGGACCCACGGGCCCUGUUUCAGGGCUUUCUGUGACCUUCACUGCAUU